GAGAUAGCUCACUUGGUAGAACAUGAGACACAAUCUCGGGGUUGUGGGUUUGAACCCCACCUUGAGCA